AAGUCUCUGUGACUCCAGCCUCGGGAAGCCCCGCCUCAGCUUAUCGAGGCCUCUGCCUGCUUCGGAAAAACUGGGCCAAAGGUCUCAGAACUCGAAGUCGAAGAAAAACAUCAUCUCUAACAUGAAUGCUUCCGAGAGUGCCUCGUUUAAUACAUUCACAGGAACAAGAAUCCCAGGAUAGAAUCUGUCCACACAGACAGUGGAGGAAGGACACUUCAGUGAUGUGAAGUGGUCGAAUGCUGCACCUCCAGAGCCUCAUAACAAUUUAUUCUGGCUGGGUGUUGGUGGCACAUGCCCUUAAUCCCAGCACUCGGGAGUCAGAGGAAGGCAGAUCUCUGUGAGUUCGAAGCCAGCCCGGUCUACAAAGUGAGUUCCAGGACAUCCAGAGUUACACUAAGAAACCCUGUCUCAAAAAACCAAAAACCAAACAAACAAUUUAUUCUGGGUGAUCUCUAGCACCCCAAUAAGCCAUUCCAUGCUCCUCCGUGUCAGACCUAACACCCUGCUACCAGCCAGACCUAACAUCUGGAAUGUACUAAAUUAACAAAAGGCUAAGUGUUGAAGACAGCGUCCAAGGUCACAGCAGAGUUUCUCCCAUCUUACUAUGACUUGUCUCUCUGAUGUCUCCAUCAAUGUAUUUUAAAAAUACCUUAUUUAGAACUUUCUUUGUUAUGUUGCCAUUAAGACUCCAUGAAACUGCUUCCAGGUUGGACACUACAUUUGGAGAGACCUAAAUAUAUGACCCCAGGUCAGGGUCAUUCAAAGUUUGUUCCAGAGCAAACCAUGUAUCUUAUACCUUUGAAGUAAGAGCUGUCUCUUGAUAAUACAACAAUCAAGUAUCUAUUAGAUUGGAUGUUUAUGGUCUUUAGUAUUGUCAAAUGAAUACAUUGCGUGUUUGUAA